UAGUUUGAUUCUGGCUCAGAACGAACGCUGGCGGCGUGCCUAACACAUGCAAGUCGAACGGAGUAUCAGGGCUUGCUCUGAUACUUAGUGGCGCACGGGUGAGUAACACGUGGGAAUCUGCCCCAGAGUACGGGAUAACUAUUGGAAACGAUAGCUAAUACCGUAUAUUGCCGAGAGGUGAAAGAUUCAUCGCUCUGGGAUGAGCCCGCGUCUGAUUAGGUAGUUGGUGGGGUAAUGGCCCACCAAGCCGACGAUCAGUAGCUGGUCUGAGAGGACGACCAGCCACACUGGAACUGAGACACGGUCCAGACUCCUACGGGAGGCAGCAGUGGGGAAUAUUGGACAAUGGGCGAAAGCCUGAUCCAGCGACGCCGCGUGAAUGAUGAAGGCCUUAGGGUUGUAAAGUUCUUUUGGCAGGGACGAUAAUGACGGUACCUGCAGAAUAAGCCCCGGCAAACUCUGUGCCAGCAGCCGCGGUAAGACAGAGGGGGCUAGCGUUGUUCGGAAUUACUGGGCGUAAAGGGCGCGUAGGCGGUCUUGUAAGUUAGAAGUGAAAUCCUGGGGCUCAACCUCAGAACUGCUUUUAAUACUGCUUGACUAGAGUCCGGUAG
rnacentral:rRNA from 1 species